UGAACGCUAGCGGCAGGCCUAACACAUGCAAGUCGAGGGGCAGCACAAAAAUAGUUUACUAUUUUGGUGGCGACCGGCGCACGGGUGCGUAACGCGUAUGCAACCUACCUUAUACUGGGGAAUAGCCCGAAGAAAUUCGGAUUAAUGCCCCAUAGUACUGAGACCUCUCCUGUGGACUUAGUUAAAGCUUCGGCGGUAUAAGAUGGGCAUGCGUCCUAUUAGCUAGUUGGUAAGGUAACGGCUUACCAAGGCUACGAUAGGUAGGGGGCCUGAGAGGGUGAUCCCCCACACUGGUACUGAGACACGGACCAGACUCCUACGGGAGGCAGCAGUGAGGAAUAUUGGUCAAUGGGCGCAAGCCUGAACCAGCCAUGCCGCGUGAAGGAUGAAGGUUCUAUGGAUUGUAAACUUCUUUUAUUUGGGAAUAAACCUCUUUACGUGUAGAGAGCUGAAGGUACCAAAUGAAUAAGCACCGGCUAACUCCGUGCCAGCAGCCGCGGUAAUACGGAGGGUGCAAGCGUUAUCCGGAAUCAUUGGGUUUAAAGGGUCCGCAGGCGGACUUAUAAGUCAGUGGUGAAAGCCUACAGCUUAACUGUAGAACUGCCAUUGAUACUGUAAGUCUUGAAUAUGGUCGAAGUGGGCGGAAUAUGACAUGUAGCGGUGAAAUGCAUAGAUAUGUCAUAGAACACCGAUAGCGAAGGCAGCUCACUAGGCCAUUAUUGACGCUCAGGGACGAAA
rnacentral:rRNA from 1 species